NACAGAAACCCUUCGGCCACCAAAAUCAGGAAAAAAAAUUGGGAUGUAGCAAGGAGGAUCACGCAACAAACCCACCACAUCUCACAGCAGCAAACAUCAGAUCGUGUAACAAUCUCAUUGGCGGUGAUUUUCGAUAAUGGCUUCCAGCAAUAGCGAGUUCGCAAUAGCCUCCUAGCGAUGGCGAGUUCACAACAGUUGGACGACGAUCGUGGUUUUGAGAGGUUUGGUAGUGGUAAUGGUGAUAGUGAUUGUGGUUGUCGCGGUCGUGGUGGUGGCCGUAGGUGGGAUGAGAUCGCCACUAGAGAAGAGUGUGAGGGACAGAGAGAGAGAGACGAGCAAGGAAAAGGGAAGAGAUGGUAGUGGGUAGUGAAGGCUGGGUAGGGUUUUUAUUUUUUUGUAAUUAAUUAAUUUAAAUAAUUAAUAAAAAAUUUG
rnacentral:lncRNA from 1 species